rnacentral:rRNA from 1 species
UCGAACGAAGCACCUUACCGGAUUCUUCGGAUGAAAGUUUGGUGACUGAGCGGCGGACGGGUGAGUAACGCGUGGGUAACCUGCCCUGUACAGGGGGAUAACAGCUGGAAACGGCUGCUAAUACCGCAUAAGCGCACGAGGAGACAUCUCCUUGUGUGAAAAACUCCGGUGGUACAGGAUGGGCCCGCGUCUGAUUAGCUGGUUGGCAGGGUAACGGCCUACCAAGGCAACGAUCAGUAGCCGGUCUGAGAGGAUGAACGGCCACAUUGGAACUGAGACACGGUCCAAACUCCUACGGGAGGCAGCAGUGGGGAAUAUUGCACAAUGGGGGAAACCCUGAUGCAGCAACGCCGCGUGAGUGAAGAAGUAUUUCGGUAUGUAAAGCUCUAUCAGCAGGGAAGAUAAUGACGGUACCUGACUAAGAAGCUCCGGCUAAAUACGUGCCAGCAGCCGCGGUAAUACGUAUGGAGCAAGCGUUAUCCGGAUUUACUGGGUGUAAAGGGUGCGUAGGUGGCAGUGCAAGUCAGAUGUGAAAGGCCGGGGCUCAACCCCGGAGCUGCAUUUGAGACUGCUCGGCUAGAGUACAGGAGAGGCAGGCGGAAUUCCUAGUGUAGCGGUGAAAUGCGUAGAUAUUAGGAGGAACACCAGUGGCGAAGGCGGCCUGCUGGAC